UACGAAGGGGGCGAGCGUUGUUCGGAUUUACUGGGCGUAAAGGGCGCGUAGGCGGCCCGUUUUGUCAGGCGUGAAAGCCCUGGGCUCAACCUGGGAACUGCGCUUGGGACGGAUGGGCUUGAGAUCGGGAGAGGAGAGUGGAAUUCCCAGUGUAGAGGUGAAAUUCGUAGAUAUUCGCAAGAACACCAGUGGCGAAGGCGGCUCACUGGCCCGGUACUGACGCUGAGGUGCGAAAGCGUGGGGAGCAAACAGG
rnacentral:rRNA from 1 species